AUUGAACGCUGGCGGCAGGCCUAACACAUGCAAGUCGAAUGGUAACAGGAAACAGCUUGCUGUUUCGCUGACGAGUGGCGGACGGGUGAGUCAUGUCUGGGAAACUGCCUGAUGGAGGGGGAUAACUACUGGAAACGGUAGCUAAUACCGCAUAACGUCGCAAGACCAAAGAGGGGGACCUUCGGGCCUCUUGGCAUCAGAUGUGCGCGGAUGGGAUUCGCUAGUAGGUGGUGUAACGGCUCACCUAGGCGACGAUCCCGAGCUGGUCUGAGAGGAUGACCCGCCACACUGGGGGGGGGACACGGGGGGGAAUCGUACGGGAGGGAGCAGUGGGGAAUAUUGGAAAGCGGGGGAAAGCCUGAUGCAGUUAGGCUGCGUGAGUAAUGAAGGGGGGAGGGUUGGAAAGAUAUUUUACCCGGGAUGAUAAUGACAGUACCGGGAGAAUAAGCUCCGGCUAACUCCGUG
rnacentral:rRNA from 1 species